CAGCAGCCGCGGUAAUACGUAGGGGGCUAGCGUUGCUCGGAAUCACUGGGCGUAAAGGGUGCGUAGGCGGGUCUUUAAGUCAGGGGUGAAAUCCUGGAGCUCAACUCCAGAACUGCCUUUGAUACUGAAGAUCUUGAGUUCGGGAGAGGUGAGUGGAACUGCGAGUGUAGAGGUGAAAUUCGUAGAUAUUCGGAGGAACACCAGUGGCGAAGGCGGCUCACUGGUCCAUUACUGACGCUGAGGUGCGAAAGCGUGGGGAGCAAACAGGAUUAGAUACCCGAGUAGUCCCUGUCUCUUAUAA
rnacentral:rRNA from 1 species